AUGGUGAAGCUGCAAUUCUUACCCGGGAGCAAGCCAUCAAGGCUGGAGCUGGAAAUAGAUUUGGAGCCUGAUCAAUCCCAUCCUCGACUCUGCCAUCCUCCUCUGGGAAUCAUAAACAUAAGAUUAUUACAGCGCAUUCCUGCAUGUGCCUUCCAUAUGGCUCCAGUCUUAACCUCACAGAUGCGGCAAGUAAACACUCUCCAAGAGUGGUUCUGAGGUGUUGCCCAGAUGGUUGCUGCUGAGCGGGGAGGGGCUGGGAAGGCGGGGCCCAGGCUGUCUGCCCCGGGGAGGGAACCACCUUCUCCGGAUAGCAGAAGAGUCAAUCCUUCCUUCACUGCUUUGCGUGUUUGGUUGGCAUGGGGGAGCUUGAGAAUGUUUUCCUUUCUUUCUUUCUGAAAACAAUCCAUUUCAAUCUAUCCCAUUCCUGGAAAAACCACAAUCCCCCCAGCAGUCUCCCAGGCCUUCAGUUUUGAAAAACAUGCAUCUACCCUGCCACCCCUUGCUUCCGUGGAUCUGUUUGGAGCAACAAUUAAUUUUAUGUAAAUGAGUUUGAGGCUGAGACUUUCAUGAAUGUGUUAGGACUCCAGACUCCUGUGGUUUGACACCACUUAAAUACACAAAUCGUUAACUUCAAAAGGUUUCCACAAUUUCUCCCCCUCUCCCAAAUCUCAUAUGAAACUCAUUUCCCAAGGAAUUGACCAAGGAACCCUAACCUCUUGCCUCAAUUGCUUUAAGGCUUUCGGUAUUUCUUCUUGGCCUGUUACUCUUGAUAUUAGAAGGUGAGCUGAAUUUCAAAGGGCAGCAAGCCAGAUGUCUUCUUUCCCCCGUAAGUGGCUGACUUCCUCUCAUUCGUUUGCACUUGGUGUGCGUGAAUUCAGGUGGGUGUCCAUUUCCCCUGGGCCUCCCCCUGCCUCUGGUUCUGCACCUUGAUGCCUGGGUGCCAGGCUGUAGCUCAUGCUGUUUGCUGGUCCUUACACUGCAGAGAUUUGAUAAAGUUCCUUGAUUAUCUGUACUGCCCUGGGGUGAGUGUGUGCCUGUGUAUGUGUUCUCCAGCAGACAAUGGGUCAGCGCAGUCCCGUUCAGCAGCCACAAUUCACAUGUAACCACCUGAUUCAUGUUGAUUCCUAUCAAGCACUUGAAAUGUGAUUUCUGCAUUUAGAUAUUCUUUAGUAAAAUACACACUGAUAUCAAAGACUUUGAAAAGUAGAAUAUUAAAUAUCUCAAUACAUUUUUACAUUGAUUCAUAUUGAAGUGAUAAUAUUCUGAAGGCAUUGGGUUAAAUGAAAUAUAUUACCAAUAUUAAUUUUAUCACUGCAUUUUUACUUUUUUAAGAGUGGCUACUAGAAAAUGUGAAUGAUGUAUGUAAUUUACUCUGUGCAUCUUCAUGGUCCCACAUUAAGCUCUCUGAUGGCACUUCUGCCCUGGCCAGGCUGUUCUCCUUUGUGUACUGUCCCCAUGGACAGAAUAGAGUGGUGUGCCCACCAGUCUGGGGCUGCAAGGGGGCUGCUGCUGACUCAGACCCAGUUGGUGGCCCACAGUACACUGUAGGUAUAUUUGUCCUGGACAGUAUCCAGUCACUUCCCACAAGUCUGGGCUGGAUCACUUCUCUUUGACCUUGACAUGUUUAGGAUAUUGCUUAAUGAGAAAGGACUUUAAAGAUUAUAUAGUCUAAUCUUUUCAUUUUACAAACAGGGCAUGAAGGCCCAGCUGUACAGUGCUGGAGGGGGUGAUUGUGAGCUUAGACUUUGGCAGAGGAGGUUUCAAGUUCAGAUUCUAGCUCUGCCAUUUCUUAGCUGGGAGAACUGGGUAGGUUCAUUGAAAGUUUCUGGGUUCAGUUUAGACUUCUGUCUAUUAAAUGAGAAUCAUCAUAUUUAUUGCACUGUAUUAUUGUCAGAAUGAAAUAAGAUAUAUAUGUAAACACUGUGGCCUGAAUAUGUGUGUCCAUCCAAAGUCAUAUGUUAAAUCCUGAUCCCAAAGGAUAUGGGCCCUGGGGAGAUGAGUUGGGCUUCUGCUGAUAAAUGGGAUUCAUGCUUUUAGAAAAGAGACCCCAGGGAGCUCUGUCAUCCCUUCUGCCUUGUGAGGCUGCACUGGAAUGACAGCUGUCUAUGCACCAGACACCGACUCUGCUGACACUUUGAUCUUGGGCUUCCCAGCCUCCAGAAAUGUGAGAAAUAUUAUAAAUAUCUGUUGUUUAUAAGCCAGCCAGCCUAUAGAGCUCCCUUAAAGCAGCUUGAACAGACCAAGACAAUAAAUAACUCAGCCUGUAAUCUGGCAGAAAGUGAGAACAUGGUGAUUAAUAAUUACUGUUAUUUAGAUAACUCUUGAAAGAUCCUACAGCUAAUUAGUGGCUGAGCUUGGGUUUAGAGCCCAGAUUUGGACUUCCUGCACCAAUGUCCUUGUUGUGUUGGAGGCCCCAGGACUCAGAGAUCAGUUGGCCACAGAUCUGCCAAGUGCUCCUGCAGCCACCUGGCCUGCUGCCAGCACAGUCCUCAUGUCCUGCCCUGGCUGUGUGCUUGAGCGUGUUGUCCUGGGCAUUCGUGCUCACAGCCCUUUCAGUCUUUUAAGAGUGUGCUGAGCACCUAUCCUGUAUCAGGCCUCUUUCUAGACUCCUGGGGUUCAUCAGGGAAUACAAACAAAGAUCUGGCCUUUAGGGAUCUGAUUUUCUAGCUGGAGAGAUGGAUACUGUGUUGGAAGGUCAUACAGGAUUCAGUUUAGGCACAUCCAGAUCUGUACACUGACCUCGCCUGACUGGAGCAGCCGUGGCAGCAGCUCGCUCUGUGCCUGCAGUUCUGGAGCUGCUCGUGCUCCCUCCACCACAGCCACUCCUCCGGGCAAGGGGGCCACCACGAAUGCUGCCCCUUGUGUGGCUCAUUGGCAGGCCCUGCACCUCCUCCUGGUGCCUGUGCUGCCUCUCUCAGAUCUCGCCUUCCAUCCUGCGGCCUCCCUAUUGCCCCUAAGUUAGGGGACCUCCAGUGUGCUAACCUGCGUUUUCAUCACCUGGAAAUAUGAGAGAGUUAACAUCCAUGUGACAGACUUUUACCAACAGGGGACAGAUGCUGAAGGACACAUUCUUUUCUCCUUCCCUGGGGAGGUUGUUUGGGGUUGCAUUAGCUUUGUUCAGCCUCUCUGAAGACGUUCUGUGAACCAAGUCAUCGUCGCUUGCAGCCCUGUGGUCAUUGGGAAACAUACUCCCUUAGGUCUUCUCUCCUCAAUUCUCUGCUUGACUCCCCUUUUGCCUCAUUUCUGCUUUCCUGGAAUUGUGUUCCUUCCAGCUCUGUUCUCUAGGAACUGGGCCAAGGCAGUAGGUGAUAAGUGCUGUGGAAAAAGAAAAUUUAAGGUAGGGCAGGAAGGGGGAUCAGGCAUGCUGUUGAGGGGUUGCGAUUUUCAACAGAAGUGUUGGUUUAAGCCUUGCUGAAAAGGAGAUAUUUGAGCAAAGACUUGCGGAGGUGAGGACGAGGACGUUAGCCAGUGUGGGGUAAGGGCAAUCUGGGUAGAGAGGAGGGAACAGCUGGUGCAAGGGCCCUCAGGCAGAGGUGGCAGUAUGCUCACAAGAGCAGUGAGGCCCCGCUGGCUUUGGAAUGGCAGGAGAUGAGAAUGGCAGGAGAUGAGGUUGGAGGGUCGGGGAGUAGGAAGGGGGUCGUUUUAGAUCUUGUAGGCUGUUGUAAUGAUUUGAGCUUCUACUCCAAGUGAAAUAGAAGCCUGUGCUGAAUUUUGAGCAGCAGCCUAACAUGGCAUCUGGCAAGUACCUGGUGCACAACACAAAGCUUGGCACAUGAGAGGCACCCCCUCAGUGUUUGUGGGUUUGAAAUAAGACAUGCAGUUGUUUGUGCAUUGACCCGGCUCUGAAACUACACCCUGUGGAGUACCUCCUGCCCUGGAGAGAGCUAGAGCGGGACU
rnacentral:lncRNA from 1 species